UCCCGUGGUUCCGAGCUCGCACCAGGAGUGGUCUGCAGCAGCCGCUCCGACCUCCGCACGGGGCAGGAAGUCCCCCGAGCCUCCGGAGAGGGCCGCCACUGGGCGCCGCACGGGCAGGGGCGGCCCCGGGAGUCGGGGCGCGGACGCCACUCGGAGGUCCGGGAACUCGCUGUCCUUCCCGGCGCGGCGAGGACGCGCGGCCGGGACCCCGGCGCGCGCCCGGCACACAGUAGGCGCGCGGCCCCGCCCCCCGGCGCGCGCCCGGCACACAGUAGGCGCGCGGGCGGCGGGCGGAAGGGGGCGCUGGCGCGCGGUAUCCGGGGGCGGAGCCGGCGCGGCCGGCCAGGCGGACGGGCGCGGGCCUCGGGGCCGCGAUGGGCGAGGGCGGGCUGCCCCCGGCCUUCCAGCUGCUGCUGCGCGCCUGCGACCAGGGCGACACGGAGACGGCGCGGCGGCUGCUGGAGCCGGGGGCGGCGGAGCCGGCGGAGCGCGGCGCGGAGCCCGAAGCGGGCGCAGAGCCGGCGGGGGCCGAGGCGGCCGGGCCCGGGGCGGCGGCGGCGGCGGCGGCCGGAGCGCCGGUGCCUGUGGACUGCUCAGACGAGGCGGGCAACACGGCGCUGCAGUUCGCCGCGGCCGGGGGCCACGAGCCGCUGGUGCGCUUCUUGUUGCGCCGCGGCGCCUCGGUCAACAGCCGCAACCACUACGGCUGGAGCGCGCUCAUGCAGGCAGCCAGAUUUGGGCACGUGAGCGUGGCACACCUCCUUUUGGAUCAUGGAGCUGAUAUCAAUGCCCAGAACCGUCUAGGGGCCAGCGUGCUCACUGUGGCCUCUCGGGGUGGCCACCUGGGUGUGGUGAAGCUGCUUCUGGAAGCUGGUGCCUUUGUGGACCAUCACAGCUCCUCAGGCGAGCAGUCAGGGGACAGCACGGAUGAGCUGUUGGACAUCACAGCCCUGAUGGCUGCCAUCCAGCAUGGGCAUGAGGCUGUGGUGCGUCUGCUGAUGGAGUGGGGCGCGGACCCCAACCACGUGGCCCGAACCGUGGGCUGGAGCCCACUGAUGCUGUCAGCACUCACUGGGAGGCUCGGCAUGGCUCAGCAGCUGGUGGAGAAGGGGGCCAACCCUGACUACCUCAGCGUGUUAGAGAAGACCGCCUUCGAGGUUGCACUUGACUGCAAGCACAGGGACCUUGCAGACUACUUGGACCCACUGACCACUGUCAGGCCCAAGACAGAUGAGGAGAAAAGGCGGCCUGAUAUUUUCCACGCGUUGAAAAUGGGAAACUUCCAGCUGGUCAAAGAGAUCGCAGACGAAGACCCUAACUAUGUGAACCUGGUCAAUGGGGAUGGGGCAACCCCGCUGAUGCUGGCGGCCGUCACGGGGCAGCUGCCUCUGGUGCAGCUUCUGGUGGAGAGGCGCGCUGACAUCGACAAGCAAGACAGCGUGCAUGGCUGGACAGCCCUCAUGCAGGCCACCUACCAUGGGAAUAAGGAAGUUGUCAAAUACCUGCUAAACCAAGGAGCUGAUGUCACUCUUCGUGCAAAAAACGGGUACACGGCCUUUGACCUAGUGAUGCUGCUGAGUGAUCCUGACACGGAACUUGUUCGACUGCUGGCAUCUGUCUGCAUGCAGGUGAAUAAAGACAAAGGCCGGCCCAGCCACCCACCACCUCUGCCCCACUCGAAGGUCCGACAGCCUUGGAGUGUCCCAGUGCUGCCCGAUGACAAAGGCGGGCUCAAGUCCUGGUGGAACCGAAUGUCCAAUCGGUUCCGGAAGCUCAAACUGAUGCAGACCCUGCCCCGCAGGCUCUCCAGCAACCAGCCAUUGCCUUUCUGUGAUGAACCAGACUCAGCGCUGGACUCCACAAUGAGGGCGGCCCCCCAGGACAAGACAAGCCGCUUGGGGCUUCAUGAUGUAGCCCCCACAGUGAAAGAUAAUGGUCCCGGGAGCAUGAGAGGAGACAAAGAAGAUGUGUUAUUGACAACCAUGCUUCGAAAUGGAGCCCCCUUCCCCAGACUCCCGAGUGACAAGCUGAAGGCAGUCAUCCCCCCUUUCUUACCCCCUUCCAGUUUUGAGCUGUGGAGCUCGGACCGGUCCCGGACAUGUCACGGUGGGAAGGCAGAACCCAUGAAGACUGUGCUGCCCCAGAGAGCUGGCCGGGGUGCCCCCGUGGGCAUGGGCGGUGGGAGCACAGAUGCUGCUCCUGUCAGGCCGGUUAAAUUUCCAUCUCUCUCCAGAAGCCCCGCCUCUCCUGCCAAUUCCGGAAACUUCAACCACUCACCUCAUUCCUCAGGCGGCUCCAGUGGGGUCGGGGGCUCCAGCAGACAUGGUGGGGAGCUGCAUAACCGCUCAGGUGGCAGCAUAGACAGUGUCCUGUCACAAAUUGCUGCCCAGAGGAAAAAGGCAGCCGGAUUAUCUGAGCAGAAGGCCAGCCACCGGUCAAGUCCUGUUGGGCCAGCGCCAGGGUCCGGCUCAUCUGAGCUCCCAGUCUCUCCUGCAGGCAGCGGCGGUCCCGGUGGCAAGCAGAAACUGGAGACGAGCAAACGGCCUUUGUCUGGAACUUCCACUACCUCCAAAAGUACCUCCCCCACACUCACGCCCUCCCCUUCGCCCAAAGGGCACGCGGCUGAGUCCUCUGUGUCCUCCUCGCCCCAUCGGCAGUCCAAGAGCAGUGGGGGCUCCAGCAGCGGCACCAUCACAGAUGAAGAUGAACUGACUGGAAUCCUUAAGAAAUUAUCACUUGAGAAGUAUCAGCCCAUUUUUGAGGAGCAAGAGGUGGAUAUGGAAGCAUUCCUCACGCUUACCGACGGCGACUUGAAGGAGCUGGGUAUUAAGACAGAUGGGUCCAGGCAGCAGAUUUUGGCAGCAAUUUCUGAACUGAAUGCAGGCAAGAAGAAAGAAGAGGGGAGCUCAUCACCUGGCUGGUUUUCCAUCCCUCUCCUAUCAGUCUGCUCAUCUUCACCUUGUCAUCAGUGUGAAAGGUCUGUGACCACCCUGGGGUCUUCGACACUCCCAUGCGCACAGAAACACUCCCUUUGAGUCGCAGAUGGGUGUUUUCAGAAGCCCUUCUGCGUUGGCAUGGACACCCACUGGAUGAAGGACUUCUUCAGCUGUUGAGUUGAUGCCUCCGAGGGACCCAGGCCCGUGAGCUCCCACUUAUCCCACUGCAGCACCCACCAGCCCUGCGCCCCAACCUCCCUCUGCCCAGUCCCACAUGUCCCUGCCCUGCCACCAGGGGUCCUCCCAAGACAGCCCCUAAACCACACGCCACAGGCUAAUCUCCACUCAGAGUCUGCUCCCAGACUGCGAGCAGGGACUUUAUAAAUGGGGGAGGCCUUGUGUGCGUGGAGGGGAACCUCAGCCACGAAGAAGGAUGUCAGCACUGUCACUGCCGCUUCUGUAGGUUGGCUUCAUCUGUGAGGUGACCUCAGAGCAAACUGAUUUUAGUAACUUCUCACAAGGGACAGUGAUUAAGAACCUGAGUCAGAAUCCUCUGAGAGAAUGCCCCCCAGGGCAGGUGGGGCCACAGGCUGGGGUGGGGGAUGGGGGGGGGUAGUGUGGGUGGUGGGAGUCUUAGGUAAGCAAAGCUCUGUUUCCUCCUUGUUGGAAUGAGAGCUGACACGCUCCCUCGGCAGACACUGAUGGAACACCGUCAGAGGCACCGGGGAUGCACUGAGGGGGGCAAAGCAAAGUCGCCGCCUUCGUGGAGUUUAUGAUCCACGAGGGGUGAUAAAAAUCCUGGCUCUCAGGGCAGUGUGAGGAUUAACUGAGCUAUUCCAAGUCAAGUGCUCAGCACAGUGCCUGACACAGGUUGAGGAAACUGGCUCCAACAAGCAAAAUGAUCCGCCGAAGGUCACAUGAUGUUUAGAGUAGAACCCAGGCUUCUCACACCUACUGAAUCCAGCUCUUUGGCAGCUUCCCGGGCGUGAUCUGAAAUGGGCCCUGUAUGUGGAGGGCAGGGAGAGGAAGGAAGGAAGAGGAAGAGGCAGGCCCCUCCAGAUGGGCGGUGUUUUCCAAGUUCCUUGUCAGCUGGCUCCCACUAAGAGGCACUGACGGGAAGUUGGAGGACAGAAGGGAGAAACCAGGGUAUCUCUCGUCCUCUCCUCAGCCGCAGGUGGCAUCUCCAAGCAGCAGCUGUGCCUCCUUCCAAGGGACUAGGACUGGUGAGUUAUGACUCCAGAUUUACCAGAUAACCCCUCCCCUCUCUGGUCCUCCUGUAGCACUUCUCCACUGUUGCUAAUUUCUGGCUGCUUCACUGUCCCCAUGUAGCUUCUCAGCCUUUCCAUUCUCCAAGUAACCAAUUCCCUGCAUGCAGGUCCCUGUGUUUUAAACACUCAAGCUGAUUCUGUUGCCUGGUUAGACUGAUUGACAUCCCAGGAUCCGCGCAGUCCCAAAUCCUAGGUAUGCACUUUAGAGCCACUCCCCUGCAGGUGCACAAGGAGAGAUGUCUGAGAAUGUCUGUCUACAGUGUUUGUGAAAAUGGAGAGGUGGAGGGGGCGUGGCCACCCAUUGCCAGAGGGACGGAUAUUGUACAAGGUUCGGGACACAGAAACUGGAAGUAGGGGUCUAGAACGGAGGAGCCUGCAGGAACACGCAGCCACCCAAUGCCAGAAUGAGUCACAGUCCACUCAAGAGGCUUCCCGCAGUGCACUUGGAGCAGGUAUGAGCAGAUGAAGAAAAGAAUGAAGAACUUUCUCACCUCUGGGCCUAUGACAGAGGCACACCAGACGUAUUGGUGGAGAAUGACCAGCAAACAGAAAUAGUGGGGCGAGCAUAAUUACAAGGGAAAGGAGAGGUGAGGAGAAUCUCAGGGGGCACCUAGGCGCAUUCAGUGAGCCCAUGGAGUGCCUGUGAGGGCAGGGCGGGAAACUGUGGAUGGGAUCCAGGCAGAGCAACUAAGCAUCCUUUGGGAGAUGAGUGAAAGGGAGUACAGAGAGCGGGGGACACAACCGAGUCUGGGAGUCCUGAGAGGCUAAAAGGGUGAGGUCAGCAACAUGGAAUUUGGGUGUUGACCCUCAGUGGCUUUCUAGAAGUCCUGGUUUUACAAAUGUGUGAUCACACAGAGAAGAGAGGGAUGGAUGGUCCCUAGGUGUGGAUGUGGGUUCACCACCAACCAGCCCAGCCACACUCACCUGUAAUCGUGGCUACUAAUCUGGAUGCCCUUAACAGUCUGGAACAUGGGGACAUAAUCAUGAGUGAAAUGUUUUGGCCCUGUUCACAGGCCCCUGCGUUAAACUGCUGGUCAGCAGGCUCAGGGAGAUCUGGCUUGCUGUUCAUCUGAAACAGCACAACAACAAGUCCACAGAGCGCAAACCUGGGGCUCUUAGAGGACCACAGUGUGAUGUGGCUGCCAGCAAAAUGCAGGUGACCCCAGACUGCAAGGACAGCAGCCCAGAGGCCUGAACACAGAGGGAUGCUCCUGUUAUUCUGUGUGCUUCUUGGUCCAUAUGGAGGGCUUGUGGUCAGUUCUGGACAUCACUCGAAGAAAACCAUGAGCAGACUAGUGGCCAGGGAAAGUUGAGGAACCUGGGGACAUCCCUCUGAGGAAGAGGUGACUUGGUUGGGGGUGGUACACGGCAUUACUUGUGAGCUGUCUUUGGUGAAGGACACCAUGGAUGAGGGAGAGACUCCAGCAGCAGACUGGGAUCCAGAGUGAAUGCCACAGCAAGGCUGACUUUGGUGGAGCACACAACCGCCAUCGACCAAAUAACGGCAUGGGAGCCUCAGGAAGCACUGAUCUUGCCACUGAUCUGCUGGUAUUAUUACUAUAAUUGUUAUUGCAUGCCUAACAAGAGCUAAGUACUGUGUUAAGUACCUUACAUGCACGUAUGCAUUAUCUUACCAAGGGAGUUAAUGAUAUGAAAAAUGCUCAGAACAGUGCCUGGCACACGUGAGUACUCGAAGUACAUUCGCUGUUGUAACUAUUUAAUCUUCACAAUAAACUUGCUGUGAAAGAGGAA